rnacentral:tRNA from 1 species
AAAAACUCAAGGGAAAUAAUACGAAACUUCUAAUUUCAAUAAAAAAAUUUCCUUUUUAGUAAUUU